GGAUGAACGCUGGCGGCGUGCCUACUCCAUGCAAGUCGAGCGAACGGACGAGAAGCUUGCUUCUCUGAUGUUCGCGGCGGACGGGUGAGUAACACGUGGAUAACCUACCUAUAAGACUGGGAUAACUUCGGGAAACCGGAGCUAAUACCGGAUAUAUUUUGAACCGCAUGGUUCAAAAGUGAAAGACGGUCUUGCUGUCACUUAUAGAUGGAUCCGCGCUGCAUUAGCUAGUUGGUAAGGUAACGGCUUACCAAGGCAACGAUGCAUAGCCGACCUGAGAGGGUGAUCGGCCACACUGGAACUGAGACACGGUCCAGACUCCUACGGGAGGCAGCAGUAGGGAAUCUUCCGCAAUGGGCGAAAGCCUGACGGAGCAACGCCGCGUGAGUGAUGAAGGUCUUCGGAUCGUAAAACUCUGUUAUUAGGGAAGAACAUAUGUGUAAGUAACUGUGCACAUCUUGACGGUACCUAAUCAGAAAGCCACGGCUAACUACGUG
rnacentral:rRNA from 1 species